rnacentral:rRNA from 1 species
UAAUACAUGCAAGUCGAACGAACUCUGGUAUUGAUUGGUGCUUGCAUCAUGAUUUACAUUUGAGUGAGUGGCGAACUGGUGAGUAACACGUGGGAAACCUGCCCAGAAGCGGGGGAUAACACCUGGAAACAGAUGCUAAUACCGCAUAACAACUUGGACCGCAUGGUCCGAGUUUGAAAGAUGGCUUCGGCUAUCACUUUUGGAUGGUCCCGCGGCGUAUUAGCUAGAUGGUGGGGUAACGGCUCACCAUGGCAAUGAUACGUAGCCGACCUGAGAGGGUAAUCGGCCACAUUGGGACUGAGACACGGCCCAAACUCCUACGGGAGGCAGCAGUAGGGAAUCUUCCACAAUGGACGAAAGUCUGAUGGAGCAACGCCGCGUGAGUGAAGAAGGGUUUCGGCUCGUAAAACUCUGUUGUUAAAGAAGAACAUAUCUGAGAGUAACUGUUCAGGUAUUGACGGUAUUUAACCAGAAAGCCACGGCUAACUACGUGCCAGCAGCCGCGGUAAUACGUAGGUGGCAAGCGUUGUCCGGAUUUAUUGGGCGUAAAGCGAGCGCAGGCGGUUUUUUAAGUCUGAUGUGAAAGCCUUCGGCUCAACCGAAGAAGUGCAUCGGAAACUGGGAAACUUGAGUGCAGAAGAGGACAGUGGAACUCCAUGUGUAGCGGUGAAAUGCGUAGAUAUAUGGAAGAACACCAGUGGCGAAGGCGGCUGUCUGGUCUGUAACUGACGCUGAGGCUCGAAAGUAUGGGUAGCAAACAGGAUUAGAUACCCUGGUAGUCCAUACCGUAAACGAUGAAUGCUAAGUGUUGGAGGGUUUCCGCCCUUCAGUGCUGCAGCUAACGCAUUAAGCAUUCCGCCUGGGGAGUACGGCCGCAAGGCUGAAACUCAAAGGAAUUGACGGGGGCCCGCACAAGCGGUGGAGCAUGUGGUUUAAUUCGAAGCUACGCGAAGAACCUUACCAGGUCUUGACAUACUAUGCAAAUCUAAGAGAUUAGACGUUCCCUUCGGGGACAUGGAUACAGGUGGUGCAUGGUUGUCGUCAGCUCGUGUCGUGAGAUGUUGGGUUAAGUCCCGCAACGAGCGCAACCCUUAUUAUCAGUUGCCAGCAUUAAGUUGGGCACUCUGGUGAGACUGCCGGUGACAAACCGGAGGAAGGUGGGGAUGACGUCAAAUCAUCAUGCCCCUUAUGACCUGGGCUACACACGUGCUACAAUGGAUGGUACAACGAGUUGCGAACUCGCGAGAGUAAGCUAAUCUCUUAAAGCCAUUCUCAGUUCGGAUUGUAGGCUGCAACUCGCCUACAUGAAGUCGGAAUCGCUAGUAAUCGCGGAUCAGCAUGCCGCGGUGAAUACCUUCCCGGGCCUUGUACACACCGCCCGUCACACCAUGAGAGUUUGUAACACCCAAAGUCGGUGGGGUAACCUUUUAGGAACCAGCCGCC